rnacentral:lncRNA from 1 species
CUUUGGUAGGCUCUCUAAAACCACAGAUAUUCAUAGAAUGAGAAUUUUUAGAGCUAGAAGGAAAUUGGAGCUUCCAAUUUGUCACCGAGGGCAGGACGGCAAGUUGCUAAGGAAACCUGAGAAUCCGGUGUUUGUACCACUAAGUCAAGAUUGCUCUCUCUGUGCAUCUGAAGGAAUCAAUUACCAAGACUUUGUCUCCAUUGCCACUAUUGAGGUUAGAGUCUUUUAAAUGUAUUUACAGCUUAGUUUCAUGGUCACUGUUAAAUCGGGAACCAGGUCCAAGGAGGAGAACACUACUACACCCAGAUUCCAUCCCACCUACAGCAAAUGUCAUAGGGUUUGGAACUCCCCAACUUUCCACUUACAGCUCAUGUGCCUCUUGAGUCAGUGUGGGAUGCAGCCAUGGCACUUAUCUGGAUACCUUGAAAACUGCUCGCAAGUCUUUGGAGGCAACCAACCUGAAGACUUGGACACACCUGCUGCACUCCUAUGUCAUUCUUUGGGACAAAGUGGGGUGACCUGGCCAUUGCCAAGGUGACAUGAGACUUUGCAGUUUCCUGGUAAAGAGAUACAAGGGCUCUGUCAGUUUAUUACACUUAUGGCCUUAGGUCAACUUCUAAAUCUCAGUUUCCAAAUCUGUAAAGUAGUGAUAAAUUACAUUCUCAGGGCCUUGGUGGGGAUUAACGGAGAUAGUCUAUAUUAAACGCUUCACCCUGUCCUUGGCACAUGUAGCAUUCAAAACAUAAUUGUAUGUGUGGUUUCACACUGGGAACAAGGGAAACGAUGUCCUUUUGACUCUUUGUCUUGAACUCCCGAACCCGAACAGCUCUGCCUCUCCAUUUCCUUGGCUCCGUAUUCCUCUGACCUCUGGGGAGAGGACAGCAAUGAUGAUGAAAGAGACCUCUGCUAGCACUCUCAAUGCCAUCAUUACAGCCUAUUGCAUAGCUUACAUAUUUUCAGCUAUUACCUUUUCCCUGUUUAGAUCAUGCAUUUUCCCUUAGAGCAAAUCCAGGGGCAAAUCUUCAUCCUCAUCUCACUGGCCGCCUGCAUGGUUGCUGCAUGAGAAACAGCUGGAGUUGCAAGAUUUGAGAAAAAUAAGGAAAAAUAAGGAAAAUGAUGGAUACAUAGCCAUUUGCACAUAAAAAUCAUCUGCUUUCACCAAAGCAGAGGGUAAAAGAACAUUCCUAAUCUGCUUCAAGUUAUUUGAGGUUCCAUUCUUGUAACAAUAGUAGAGUUAAUUAUAUUGUGUAUAACUCACUGAUCAUACUCUUUUUUUAUUUUAUUUUAUUUUAUUUUAUUUUAUUUUAUUUUAUUUUAUUUUAAAGACUUUAUUUAUUCAUGAAAGACGGGCGGG